rnacentral:rRNA from 1 species
AAAUUGAAGAGUUUGAUCAUGGCUCAGAUUGAACGCUGGCGGCAGGCCUAACACAUGCAAGUCGAACGGUAACAGGAAGCAGCUUGCUGCUUCGCUGACGAGUGGCGGACGGGUGAGUAAUGUCUGGGAAACUGCCUGAUGGAGGGGGAUAACUACUGGAAACGGUGGCUAAUACCGCAUAACGUCGCAAGACCAAAGAGGGGGACCUUCGGGCCUCUUGCCAUCAGAUGUGCCCAGAUGGGAUUAGCUUGUUGGUGAGGUAACGGCUCACCAAGGCGACGAUCCCUAGCUGGUCUGAGAGGAUGACCAGCCACACUGGAACUGAGACACGGUCCAGACUCCUACGGGAGGCAGCAGUGGGGAAUAUUGCACAAUGGGCGCAAGCCUGAUGCAGCCAUGCCGCGUGUAUGAAGAAGGCCUUCGGG